CUGCAAGGGCCAGUGGCGGACGGGUUAGUAAUACGAUCGAACGUACCCCGAGGUGGAGGAUAGCGGCGGGAAACUGCCGGUAAUACUUCAUGAUCUCCCCGGAGCAAAGUCGCAAGACGCCUUGGGAUCGGCGAUCGGCCUAUCAGCUAGUUGGUGAGGUAAGAGCUCACCAAGGCGAUGACGGGUAGCGGGUGUGAGAGCACGACCCGCAACAUCGGGACUGAGACACUGCCCGGACUCCUACGGGAGGCUGCAGCGACGAAUCUUCCGCAAUGGGCGAAAGCCUGACGGAGCGACGCCGCGUGUGGGAUGAAGCGUCUUCGACGUGUAAACCACUGUCAGAGGACAGAAACACUGAUCGUCCUCAGAGGAAGGGGCGACUAACUCUGUGCCAGCAGUCGCGGUAAGACAGAGGCCCCGAGCGCUAAUCGGAAUUACUGGGCUUAAAGGGUGCGUAGGCGGACCAGCAAGCGUCUUGUGAAAGCCCCCGGCUCAACCGGGGAACAGCGGGGCGAACUGCGGGUCUUGAGGCAGGUAUGGGUCGCCGGAACAGUAGGUGGAGCGGUGAAAUGCGUAGAUAUCUACUGGAACGCCGAUGGUGAAGACGGGCGACUGGGCCUGUCCUGACGCUGAGGCACGAAAGCGUGGGGAGCAAACAGGAUUAGAUACCCUGGUAGUCCACGCCGUAAACAAUGCGCGCUAGAUCGGGGCGGCUCUGACGCCGGCUCGGUCGAAGCAAAAGCGAUAAGCGCGCCGCCUGGGGAGUACGGUCGCAAGGCUAAAACUCAAAGGAAUUGACGGGGGCUCGCACAAGCGG
rnacentral:rRNA from 1 species